ACCAGCCGCUGCCAGAGCUGAAUCCUGAACAAUGCUGGUUGUUCUCGGGGAGAGCAGAUUUAGGGAAAACAGAAUCGAGGAGAAACAGUCUUUUAGGCAUGAAGGUUUGUGCAGGAGGAGCUCCAGGCACACAGCAGCAGCUCUCUGCCACUCAAGAGAGGCCCAUGGAGGAGCAGGACAUCCCCCUGUAUCCCAUGGGCACCCCAUGGAACAGAUCGCCCCGUGCAGCCAUGGACGAGCUGUGGUGCAGCUGUGGAUGAAGUCUGAAGGAGGCUCAGCCCACAUAUACCACUUCAGGAGCAACCUGGGCUGGAGCUGCAGUCCAUUAGGAGCUGUGGGGAGCAGUGCUGGGUGAGCUGCAGUUUGUGGGAAGCCCAUUUGAGCUCCAUUUGGGAAGGACGUCAGCCAUGGGAUCCACAAGGAACAAAGGCAGAGGAACAUUCUCUUCUUUCCAUCUUCCCUGAUUAGGAAAGAAGUAAUUCACUUCUGUGCAGGAUCGCAGAACACAUGACAAGCUGGGUCGUAAACAUCCAUGGAAUUGCUGUUUACCUGUAGUCAGUAAUCACAACUUUCUGAUCAGCCUCUCAGGUACAGGUAUUAAAUCUUUACUGUUUAGUUGGCAGUUUUGAUAUAGCUGGUGAGGUUGCUUCAUUCAUGGGGUUUUGAUGAGAAAGCAGAAAUAUAUGGGAACAGUCAGAAAAUAUGAGGAAGAAACAUGUAGACAUGAAUAUAAUUUUUUUUUUCCCAAAUUUCUGGGAAUUUGGGAAUUUGAGCUGGAAUUUGUCUCACUGCAGCUUGUACCCAUUGUCC
rnacentral:lncRNA from 1 species